GGGGAAUAUUGGGCAAUGGGCGCAAGCCUGACCCAGCAACGCCGCGUGAAGGAAGAAGGCUUUCGGGUUGUAAACUUCUUUUAUCAGGGACGAUAAUGACGGUACCUGAUGAAUAAGCUCCGGCUAACUACGUGCCAGCAGCCGCGGUAAUACGUAGGGAGCAAGCGUUAUCCGGAUUUACUGGGUGUAAAGGGCGUGUAGGCGGGACUGCAAGUCAGAUGUGAAAACUAUGGGCUUAACCCAUAGCCUGCAUUUGAAACUGUAGUUCUUGAGUGGUGGAGAGGCAAAUGGAAUUCCUAGUGUAGCGGUGAAAUGCGUAGAUAUUAGGAAGAACACCAGUGGCGAAGGCGAUUUGCUGGACACUAACUGACGCUGAGGCGCGAAAGUGUGGGUAGCAAACAGGAUUAGAUACCCUGGUAGUCCACACCGUAAACGAUGAUUACUAGGUGUUGGAGGAUUGACCCCUUCAGUGCCGCAGUUAACACAAUAAGUAAUCCACCUGGGGAGUACGACCGCAAGGUUGAAACUCAAAGGAAUUGACGGGGGCCCGCACAAGCAGUGGAGUAUGUGGUUUAAUUCGACGCAACGCGAAGAACCUUACCAAGUCUUGACAUCCCUUGACAGACAUAGAAAUAUGUAAUCUCUUCGGAGCAAGGAGACAGGUGGUGCAUGGUUGUCGUCAGCUCGUGUCGUGAGAUGUUGGGUUAAGUCCCGCAACGAGCGCAACCCUUAUGGUCAGUUACUACGCAAGAGGACUCUGGCCAGACUGCCGUUGACAAAACGGAGGAAGGUGGGGACGACGUCAAAUCAUCAUGCCCCUUAUGGCCUGGGCUACACACGUACUACAAUGGCAGUCAUACAGAGGGAAGCAAAAUCGCGAGGUGGAGCAAAUCCCUAAAAGCUGUCCCAGUUCAGAUUGCAGGCUGCAACCCGCCUGCAUGAAGUCGGAAUUGCUAGUAAUCGCGGAUCAGCAUGCCGCGGUGAAUACGUUCCCG
rnacentral:rRNA from 1 species